GUCCGUGUAGAGCAAGGUAGCUCGCCCUCCUCAGCUACAGACCUUCGUGUGUUUCGUUUGAGGGAGACGGUGGUUCGAUUCCGCCCGCGGAUU